rnacentral:SRP_RNA from 1 species
ACUGGGCAUGGUGGCAUUUGUCUGGAAUCCUAGCUACCCAGGAAGUUGAGAUUGGUGAAUGUCUUGAACUCUGGAGUUGAGUUUCAGUAGGUUGUUGAUUAGAUGUCCACACUAAAGAUAGUCUGGCAUCAAUAUGGAGAGCUCUUGGGAAUAGGGGAGGAGCAUAGGGUUGCUUAGGGAGUAGUGAACUGGUCCAGGCUACAGAUGGAGACAGUCAAAACAUCUGUGCCAAUCGGUAGUGGGAUUACACCUGUGUGUGACUUCUCAAUUUCUACAACCUGGGUGAGACUUGGAGAUCACCUU